AGUUCAUCUCCUCCAGGCAGUAGAGCAGUGCUACAUCUAGUUCAAGGCCAUGUCAAGGUCACAAAUAUUCAUAUAUAGAAUAUAUAUUGUGAACAGAGUAUUUAAGGUUGGAGGAAAGUCCAAGAUAGUCUUGGCUUCAUCCAUCAGCUGUCAGUCACUAUGCACUUACUGAGGGCUUGAUGGAUAUUCCAGAGCAUCACCAGAAUUCUCAAAAAUGCUUCAGGCAAGCACCAAGUGAUUGGAGUUCGCACAUGAGAAGACACGUUUUCCUCCAACUCUCUUUUACAUGUCCAUCGUGGAAGAGCUCAUCUGCAGUCAUGACUUUAAAUUCCGAAAAUCCGGGGGCUCAUUUAUCCAUCUCCAGCACCUCACACAGUGUCUGGAGAACAUGAUUUGGCUUGGUUCUUUCAAUCACUUUUCUUCCUUCUGACUUUUUGAAUUGCCACUUGAGAGUCCUCCACCCAGGUAUUCCUCUGCCUCCUCCCAGGCAGCUGUGGCCGCACAGGUUUUCAUUACUGACUCUGAGGAACUCAUCGGUGCUUGAGUGGCGGCUCUCCUGAUGAACAGCGGCCAUCCCAAGCAGUUCUCAUAUUUCUAAGAUGCAGGGCUCAGAUGUUCAGCCCAGCUGCUCUCCAGCCCGAAUGCCCUUCUAAGCUGAGAUACUAUGACCUACUUUUCCCUCCCCUUUAAUAAUACAAGACAUUUGAGUUUC